CGUUGUCUCUGACAACUGCCAAUGCCUGAGUGAUUUGAGACAGGCGCCUUCGGGUAAUCACAUGCCAAUGCCAUCAUAACCUGAGAGAUGGCGCUUUCGGGCGGUUCAAACCUGUUUAACCUUUGCAAACAGGAACCUGAUUACAGGUUAAGGUCCUU
rnacentral:sRNA from 23 species